UUGCGGGCAUGGCCAGCGAUUCUCUAGGAUUGGGGACGGGCACCUGCCAGGCACACGUAUCCUCUCUCGUGAUCCACACAGCAACGCCUACGAAGGAGGCACUAUUAUCUCCCCUUUAGCCAAGAACGCGGGGUCAGCAAAGUUAAAUAUGUCGCCAAGGCCCUACAACGGGUUAGUGACCAAGUCUGACUCUGACUCGCACCUCUUUCGACUCUACAGCCCUUCCCGUGUCUCAUUCAUCCCUGUAACCUGAACUCGGCGUCCAGCCCCAGCCUUCCGUGUCCCUCAACUGAGACUGUUGAAUGACUACCUGAUUCUGGUCAGUCCAUCGGUGGUGAUUUACUGAAUGGAGCAAAGUGCUGGGGGAGCCACGGAGGCGGGUGUAACUGGACGGGGAUCGAGCCGGCCUUUCCUUGGCUUGCGAGGAACUUCUGGAGACAUCUGCUUUGAAAGAAAUGCUUUCAUUAGCCCCAGUAGAGAUGUCUCAGCUCAGCAGGAGAGGCUUGCAGUGUCUCUAGACAAGGCCAGCUGGCAGGAUAGACUUGUUUACAGCAAACUAGUUUUACAUCUUUCUAACAACCCUGCUUUAAAAGUCCUACCAUCAAAAGGAGAAACAGAACUGGAAAACAACUCUACGGCCUAGGAGAUGGGCUUUGUGAGAGGCUGCUCAGGAUUCUGAGCGAGCAGAAUGGAGGGAGUGAUUAAUUCUGCCUGCAAAAAUGAAGGAGGGUUUCACUGAGAAGGUGGCAUUUGAUUGGAGACUCAGAGGUUAAGUAGCUGUAUUUAUUUGCUGUUUUGUUUUUGCCUAUUUCGCAGGCAUUUAAAGAGAAAAGCAUUCCUAUGAAGAAUAUGCAAAAGGAGGAAGGGACCCCAGGAAGCUGCAAAUACUUCCUUGGGGUGGGGGUGGGGUGAGGAUGGCGAAAGGUGUAAGACAGGGGAGCUUGGUUGUGCCAAGUGGUCCAAGGGCCUUGAGUGCCAUGCGGAGGGUUUAUUCUUAGCUCUUCUAAGAUGUUCUAACAUGUACUGAGCCACAGCUUCGAACAGCCACCUUAAUUUUUGUCUUUUAGUCCCAAAGUUCUGGCAAUGAGCAGGAGGGAAGCAGUAGAGUAGGGUGGAAGUUAGGAGUCGGAGGUCUGGAGUCUAGUCUGAUUCUGCUGCCUUCUUCCCAGUGACUCGGGCUCUGCGGGCUUCUGUUUGCUCAUGUUGAGUGGAAUGGCGAGAAGAUUCUUCGGAGCUCUGCAGUCCCACACGUCUCUGUAUCAGCUUCAGGAAGGGCAUCCCUUAUGAAGUUCAGAUGAGCUCCCGUGGUGGACAGACUCUCGAGGAGACACCCUCAUCCUGCUGGUCUUCUUGGUUUCACGUCGUUCUCCACUUGGGACGGAGGAAGACGUGGCCUGCUGCUAAAUAUCUUAACAACUAACUGCGGGGAGAAAAGAUUCCUGAUAGCUUUUGCCAGUACCUGUGGUGUAAAUAUCCCCGCGGUGGCGGCGAUCAAGUUGCCCAGGGAGCAUCACUGGACCCCGAAUGGGAGGAGAGACAGGCCGUUCUGCCGCCUGCACGCUGGGAGAACCUGCUCCGGCGACCCCUGGAGGCGACUCAGAUCCCCAGGUCCAGACUUUGCUUCAGGAAGCAGUCACUGUGUGCGAAGAGGCUGUGCAGAGAGUCGUGCAGGGACCCACGUUCAGCACGCCACUCCCAAGCCUGCUGCUCUCCCGCUGAGUAAGAGCUUAAGGACGGGUGAUGCCGUGUGUCCAGGUGUGUUGGCCGGUGACGGUCCGCUUGACGGAAGCACCUCCAUUUGCCUGAGUAUCUGGUGUCUGGUCUGCCUCCAGAGCUGCUCUGCCCAGGUGGGUGAUGGUGAAGCCAGGUCCUGGCCCCUCCCUUAUGUCUGUUUCCGACGUCGUCGUCGUCGUUAUUAUUAUUAUUGUCAUUAUCCUCACAGCAACCCUGUGAAGUAGGUGCUAUUAAUGCCUCUUUUAAAAAAUAGUAUAUAAAUGACAUAUAAUAUUAUAUCAGUUUUAGCUACACACCCUAAUGAUGUGAUAUGUGUAUGCAUACACUGCAAAGUGAUUUUACUGCAGUAAGGUUAGUUAUCACCCACACCACACUAGUUAUAAAGUUUUUCGCUUGUGAUGAGAAUUUUCAAGAUCUCCUCUCUUAGCCACGUUCAAAUACACAACAGUAUUAUUAACUAUAGUCACCGCGUUGUAGAUUCCAUGCUUUGGAAUUAUUUGUAUCUUUUAAAAAAAUUAUAGAAGUAAAGUUGGUUUACAAUGUAGUGGUAAUUUCUGUCGUGCAGCUAAGUAGCUCAGUUAUGCAUAUACACACACACGUGUGUGUGUGUGUGUGUGUCUGUAUGUUCUUUUCCGUAAAUGCCUGUCACAGGAUGUUGAACUUAGCCCUCCGUGCUCUGCAGCAGGACCUUUUUUUGCUGAUUUUCCAUCCUGUACAUUCUAGUUUGCAUCUGUUAAUCCCACACUCCCAAUCCUCCCCUCCCUCACCCUGCUCCCCUUGACAGCCACAAGUCUGUUCUUUAUGUCUAUGCGUCUGUUUCUGUUUCGUAGAUAUCUUCAUUUGUGUCGUAUUUUAGAUUCCACAUAAAAGUGAUUUCAUAUAUUUGUCUUUCCCUUUCUGACUUCACUUAGUCUGAUAUCUCUGGGUCCAUCCAUGUUGCUGCAAAUGGCAUUAUUUCAUAUUUCAGUCCUUUUUUUGUUUAUUUUGUUCUUCAGGACCACACCCACAGCAUAUGGAGGUUCCCAGGCUAGGGGUUUAAUCAGAGCUAUAGCUGCUGGCAUACACCACAGCCAUAGCAAUGCAGGAUCCGAGCCACGUCUGCAACCUACACCACAGUUCAUGGCAAUGCCAGAUCCUUAGCCCACUGAUUGAGGCCAGGCUGCAACCACAUGGUUCCUAGUUGGAUUCAUUUCUGCUGUGCCAUGAUGGGAACUCCUAUAUUUCAGCCUUUUCGUGGCUAAGUAAUAUUCCAUUGUAUGUAUAUGCCAUAUCUUAUUUGUCCAUUCAUCUGUCCAUGGACAUUUUGAUUUUUUCUAUGCCUUGGCUAUUGUACAUAAUGCUGCUUUGAACAUAGGGGUGCAUGUAUCUUUUCAAAUUACAGUUUUAUCUGGGUAUAUGCCCAGGAAUGGCAUUGCUGGAUCAUGGGGCAACACUAUUCUCAGUUUUUUGAGGAAUCUCCAUGGUUUUUUUUGUUUGUGUUUGUUUUUUGGCUUUUUAGGGCAUAUGGAAGUUCUCAGGCUAGGGGUUGUGUAGGAGCUACAGCUGCCAGGCUACACCACAGCCACAGCAACGCCAGAUCCCCAACCCACUGAGUGAGGCCAGGGGUUGAACCCACAUCCUCAUGGAUACUAGUUGGAUUCGUUGGAUCUAGGGAAUUCCCGCACUGGUUUCUGCGGCAGCUUCCCUGUUUACAUUUCCAUCGACAGCGUCAGAGGACUUCAGACUGAAAAUCUACCUUUUGACCACCUUUAUGCAUCCCCCCCCCCACUUCGCAUCUCUGGCAACCCCCAGUCUGCUCUCUGCAUCUAUGAGUUGGUUUUGUAGAUUCCAUAUGUAAGUGUGACCAUACACGCUAACUGCCUUUCUCUCUCUGACUUAUUUCACUUUGCAUAAUGCCCCCAAAGUCCAUUCAUGUUGUCACAAAUGGCAGUUUCUUCUUAUGGCCGAAUAACUUACCUGUGUGUGUGUGUCAGUGUCUGUGUGUGUAUCUUACAUUUUCUUUAUUCAGUCAUCAAUCUACGGACACCGCGAUGGCCUCCAGGUCUUGACUGUGGUAAGUAAUGUGGCAUGCAACGUGGAAGUGCAGAUAGCUUUUCACAGUACUGAUUUUGUUUCCUUCUGAUGAGUUCACUGCCUCUUUAUCGCUCAGAGAACUGGGACUCUGGCAGAUAAAGUGACUUGGCCAAGGCGACAGGGUUAGAGCUACUAUCUCAACAAGGCCCCAAAUUCAACGUAUGUGUUCUUUCCUUGUUCAGUUUCAAGGUGAUCAUUCGGUUAAGGAGACUAAGAUGAGGUUGUCCUCUUAGUGACUCGUGGAAUGCAGGUACCCGCCCCCCGCCCCCGCAGAAUGGCUGUAGAGAGUCACACAAUGAGCAUUUGCUCAGAGUACUGCGUGAGGCACGUCCACACACAUUCUCUCCGUUGUUGCUCCCAGUGACCUUGUGAAACGGAAGAAACUCCCCCACCCAGACAUGGAAGCUGAGAUUCUUUCAAGCGCAGUGAUUUGCUCAAAGACCCGCAGGUGACAGGUGAUGCUCUGAGUCGGGAACGCAAGUCUCUGAGACUCCAAGCUCCAUGCUCUGUUCUUCUGGGACCGCGAGAUGUGGCCAGGAGGGAGGAGCUGGGAAAGAAGCAGAUGAAGGGAGGGCCCUUGGGCAAAGGAGCGUCUAGGGUUUCACUCUAACGUGUUCUGGCCCAGCAGGAGCAGGCAUGACAGUCCACGUUGGGAGGUGGGGAAACUGAGGCUCAGAGAAGUGCAGUGACGAAGCCGCUAAGGCGGUAAUGCUGGCCUUCAGCUUCAGUCCGACGCUUAAGCCUUCGCCUCUGCAGCACAGCUUGGCUGGUGGUCCAAGCCACGGACCUCUUCUUUCUGGGGGUCUCUGUUCCCAGCCAUCCCCUGAGGCCCACCAGGAACUCUGGAUCCUUUUCUCUCAGGCGAAAGGCCUUGCGUUCCUCUGCCUUUACAACCCGGAAGAGCGAAGAGCGGCAGGCGGUUCUGGGUAAUUUACAUGUGUUACUAACAUUACCCCCACUUUUAUGAUGCAGAACCUGAAGCCUCCAGAGGGCACGACGAUUAGAAAUGCAGAAACUAGAAUUUGCCUCAAGGACUUACACCAGACCGGAGUUCUUUUAUUUAUUUAUUUAUUUAUUUAUUUAUGGUCUCUUUAGGGCCGCACCUGCAGCAUACGAAGGUUCCCAGGCUGGGGGUCGAAUCAGAGCUGUGGAUGCCCGCCUGCCCCACAGCCACCACACCACCAGAACUGAGCCAUGUCUGCCACCCACACCACAGCUCAUGGCAACGCUGGAUCCUUAACCCACGGAGUGAGGCCAGGGGUUGAACCUGCAUCCUCAUAGAUCCUAGUCAGAUUCAUUUCCGCUGAGCCAUGACGGGAACUCCCCGACCUGAAUUCUUAACUGCUGCCCUCUUCCACUUUUUCUCGCCCGGGCUGGGUGCAGAUUUCACUCUCUGAGGUGUGCCAGGCCAAGAACCUUAAAUACCAGAGUCAAAAUCGCCAGCUCCCCUUGACCUGAUCCAUAAAUUCCCAGGUCUCCCUAAAGGUACCACUCAGCCCUGACGCCACGGAUCAGGGCCCACGAAACCUGGGGACUUCCUCCUACCCCAUCCUCAGUUCGCACACGUACCCUCAGGGUAGGCAGUGUUGUCUCCAUUUUCCUGAGGAGGCGGUUGAGGCUGCAGGGUUUCAAGGGCGGGCAUCCAGGCCAAGAACCAGGUCCGUCUCUAAGACCCUGGCUCUUUCUCUUCGCCACCUCCCUCCCGCCUGGACGAGCUCCCACUUGACAGUCGCGGUGCCUGAAUUCUGGCCUGAACCGUCUCAGCGGCUCUGUUCCUGUUCAGAUAAUGCGAUGAGCGGACAGAGGGCUUGCUGAUCUCUAAGGCUCUCUCCUGAUCCAGAAAUGUGGGGUCCUGUCCUCACCGCUCCAUCCCAAGGCCACGGAGAGAAGAGAGCUUGGCUCCAGCAAGGGGCGGCCUCCCGAGCUUGGGGCUGACACUCAGGAUCUGAGACACCUCGGCGUCUCCAGAGGGGGUCACAGCCCUUCUCCGUGGAGCCCAGUUCACCUAAUUCUGAUCUCCCCGGUUUUCUGGAAACAUUCCCAAGGCCUCCCUAUCAGACUCGGCGUCUACGCACCUCCGCACUCAGCAGGCCUGACCUGAGCCGACGGAGAGAAAGAGCCCCACGAUCGCCCUGUGAAGUCGGUACUGCCGAAGCUGCCUGAUGGCCAAGGAACCGAGGCUCAGCGAGGAGACGUGGCCGUGGUCACGGCGACAGAGCCAGCACGCUAACCUGGGCCUGUUGGGUUCAAUUCCUGUGCCCUCUUCCUGUUGCGCCGCAGAGGGGAGGCCAGGCGCUUAAACGAAGGCCCAGGGGUAAGAAAGAAGCAAGACUUGGAGAAUCUACGGUCUGGACUCAGGGACGUCCAAAGGCAAACAGGUGAAGGAAGGCGAAUCCAGUCCUGGCCCUGCCAGUCUCCGAAUCCGACCCCUUCUCCACUACAACUCGUAUACCGGGUCGAAGAGUGUCCCCCCCGCAAAUCCACGCCCUUCCUGGAGCCCCAGCAUUGGCGCUUGUUUGGAACAGAUGCACUUAGUUAGGAUGAGGUCAUAGUGGACCAGGGUGGGCCCUACAUCCAGUGUGGCUGGUGUCGUCAUCGGAAGACAGACCCAGAGAGGACGCCGCCAAGUGCAGACACGGACGAGAGCGGAGGGAGGAGGCCACGUGAAGACGGAGGCGGAGACAGUGAUGGACGCGGCCAGAUGCCGAGGGCGCCAGGAUUUCCAGCAACCUCCAGGAGCUAGAAGGGGCGAGGAAGGAGUCUCCCCUAGGGCUGUCCGAGAGAGCCAGGCCCUGCCGGCAUCUUGAUUUCUGGCUGCUCGUCUCCAGAACUGUGAGACAAUACACUCCUGUUGUUUUAAGCCACUUCGGUACUUUAUUGUAGCAACUCAGCGAUCAAGUACAGCUCCUUCCUGUUGUACAGAAGGAGGGGUGACUUACAGGCAUCAUGGACCCCGGGUGUGGUCAUGUUGAAAUUUAGAAUAUUGGGGCAAACCCAAGGAGGAAGGGAGCAUCAGUCUGUCUGACCCUUGCUCUGGGCUGUGCAGCUUUCAUGGGUGGUCUCAUCGUCCCUUGCGGGGAAAUACAGCAUGUGCCCAUUUCACAGACUAGGAAAGUGAGGCUCAGAGAAGGGAAGGGACAGGCCCCCUAAGCUCACUUCCCCCCACCUCUAGUGCUGCGCAAGGAGCAAACCCAGACUCCGCUCUGAGUGCCAGGGAAGCAGGCUGCUCACUUCCCUUCUCUGAGCCUCACUUUCUUCAUCUUGAAAAUGGGCAUGAUAAUAGCUGCCUCUCAGGUGGUUGUGAGAAUAAACUGUCAUCCAACAAAUGUU